rnacentral:rRNA from 1 species
GACGAACGCUGGCGGCGUGCCUAAUACAUGCAAGUCGAACGCUUCUUUUCUACCGAGUGCUUGCACUCACUUGAAAAGAAGAGUGGCGAACGGGUGAGUAACACGUGGGUAACCUGCCCAUCAGAAGGGGAUAACACUUGGAAAUAGGUGCUAAUACCGUAUAACAAUAGGAACCGCAUGGUUCAAAUUUGAAAGGCGCUGUCGGGUGUCGCUGAUGGCUGGUCCCGCGGUGCAUUAGCUAGUUGGUGAGGUAACGGCUCACCAAGGCAAUGAUGCAUAGCCGACCUGAGAGGGUGAUCGGCCACACUGGGACUGAGACACGGCCCAGACUCCUACGGGAGGCAGCAGUAGGGGAUCUUCGGCAAUGGACGAAAGUCUGACCGAGCAACGCCGCGUGAGUGAAGAAGGUUUUCGGAUCGUAAAACUCUGUUGUUAGAGAAGAACAAGGAUGAGAGUAACUGUUCAUCCCUUGACGGUAUCUAACCAGAAAGCCACGGCUAACUACGUGCCAGCCGCCGCCGUAA